ACGAGGUAAAUAAGAUGAAGUUUUCGGAUGGAUUCUUAUUUACCGAGUGGCGGACGGGUGAGUAACGCGUGGGUAACCUGCCUCAUACAGGGGGAUAACGGUUAGAAAUGACUGCUAAUACCGCAUAAGCGCACAGUACCGCAUGGUACGGUGUGAAAAACUCCGGUGGUAUGAGAUGGACCCGCGUCUGAUUAGCUAGUUGGUGAGGUAACGGCCCACCAAGGCGACGAUCAGUAGCCGACCUGAGAGGGUGACCGGCCACAUUGGGACUGAGACACGGCCCAGACUCCUACGGGAGGCAGCAGUGGGGGAUAUUGCACAAUGGAGGAAACUCUGAUGCAGCGACGCCGCGUGAGUGAAGAAGUAUUUCGGUAUGUAAAGCUCUAUCAGCAGGGAAGAAAAUGACGGUACCUGACUAAGAAGCCCCGGCUAACUACGUGCCAGCAGCCGCGGUAAUACGUAGGGGGCAAGCGUUAUCCGGAUUUACUGGGUGUAAAGGGAGCGUAGACGGCGACGCAAGUCUGAAGUGAAAUACCCGGGCUCAACCUGGGAACUGCUUUGGAAACUGUGUUGCUAGAGUGCUGGAGAGGUAAGCGGAAUUCCUAGUGUAGCGGUGAAAUGCGUAGAUAUUAGGAAGAACACCAGUGGCGAA
rnacentral:rRNA from 1 species